rnacentral:misc_RNA from 1 species
UUAAGUUCAGCGGGUAUCCCUACCUGAUCCGAGGUCAAGACGUUGAUAUAAGCUUCUGGAGCGCCCGACCCGACCCGUCGUAAGCGCGACUGUGCUGCGCUCGCGGCGGAGGUUGCGGCUGCCAAUCAAUUUGAGGCGAGUCCACGCGCGAAAAGGGGCGGGACAGCACCCAACACCAAGCUGAGCUUGAAGGUUGAAAU